UCUCAGUUUCCUUCCCCACGCACGCGACCCCUGUCUCUCUUUCCUUUCCUCUCCUCCAACCCCCGCCCCUUUCCUGCUGCUUCGCCGCCGCCGCCUCUUUCUCCGCCAAAUCCACCGCGCGCCGCCCGUGCCCGUGCCCUCCUCACCUCCCGUCACGAGCUCCACCUGCCCCAGCCUCGUAUACCCCGAUCUUCUCGAAUUGGAUCUCGGGAGCACACAGGAGGGGAGGCGAGGUGCCUGCGCUGGCGGCAACGGUGCGUGGGUGCGGCUGAUGUCCACGUCCGCGGCCUCGCAGGCCAAGGAUGCGGCGGCCAAGACGGCGGAGGCGGCCAAGGGCGACGGGGAGAAGAAGGAGGUGGCGAUUACGUCAAGGACGCUCUUUGCUUGCUCUGCUCUGCUCUGGUUUCCCCAUUUCGAUUACGUCACCGGCGAGGGGUCGUCAGAUCGUAGCGUGUGUGCGGUUGAUGGGCGCUAUUAUUUUAUUAACAUGUUGCGCCGCCGCCGUGUGUGAUUGAUUGGUUUUGCUGCCACAGCAACCAUGGAAGAUGUUCGAGUGGCAGGGUGGCCCCAUCAUCCUCGCCCAGGUGGAGACGGGUACAUGGAGUAGGCGAUGGGCGGCGGCGCCAAGCCGUACGCCAACUAGGCCACCAAGAUGGUCGUCGCCACUGACGCCAGCUUGCCGUGGGUGGUGUGCAAGCAUGACGAUGCUCCCGACGCCGCGGACAUCACAUCACUGAAUCAAGGUGCCAACUUUGGAGCCUGAUUCGUGAUGGCUGCAAAAAAAUACCUGCAAUGGCUUCUACUGCAACUACUUCGGCCCCAACUCCAACAGCAAGCCUACCAUGUGGACCGAGGCCUUGCCUGGAUGUUCACGACAUUUGGUGGCGCGGUGCCGCACCGGCUGGUGGAGGACAUGGCGUUCGUGGUGGUAAGGUUCAUUCAGAAGUGCGGGUCCUUCGUCAACUACUACAUGUACCAUGGACUGGACCGCCGAUGGCCUGUUCAUCGCGACAAGCUACGACCAUGAUGCACCAUUCGACGAAUAUGAUCUGCUUAGGCAGCUGAACUGGGGACACCAGAGGGACCUGCACAGGGCCAUCUAGCAGGCCGAGCGGGUGCUCGUCUCCGGCGAUCCCUCCAUCCAGUGGAUCGGGAACUAUGAGAAGAGGAGGCCCUGGCUCGGACAACCGCCGCAGUGUCGGGUGCGCCGGUGAGGUCCCUGGGGUCGGUGCGGCGGGCGUGACCCCUCCCGGCUCCCCGCCCUCGUCCGCGACAACGAGGACCAAGAUGCAUUUACGGUGUUGUCUGGUGCGUCGUCAGGUUUGGUUGGUCGAGGCCAGGUAUGAGUAGCUCCUGAGGCUGAUGGAUGGAUGGAUGGAGAUACCAGGGUCAUGUCGCUGGGUGGGCAAAGACCGGGGGUACAACCUCCUUUUCAGUAAAAAAAUGAGGGGCGAUGAUGAUGUGGCUGAAAUAAGCAUGUCUUGAGCAAUCAAGACUGCUGUAGCCUGUGGGUACUAAAUUAGAGCCCACUCUUACCUCUCUGGCAGCCUGUUCAAUUCAUUGGUGAUGUUGGAUGUUCUGCACCUCGGAUGGUCAUUCUGACGAGUGAUAACCAGGGCAGUUCGUCUACAUUGUGAUGUUUAUGUUAUGCAGCAAGAGAUCUGAGUGUUGGGCUUGAAGAUCAAAGACAAAACUGAGCCCUCUUUUGCUAUGCUACAAAUACACAAAUUUUCCUUAUCUAUUAUACAGUGUUCUUCUUUCUUUUCUAUUCCUCUGUUGUGUUGAUGUGAGUGAAGAUCCAUCUGGACUUGGGAUUUAUGUCUUUUUUUGGUGAUGAACACAACCACCCUAAGCUUACAUGAAUUGGUUCAUGGUUGCGCUGGACAUUCCCAUGACGCCGCCGGCGCCAACGCCACGGCUUCUGCUUCUUACCCAACCAAGGUGAGCCGGUCCAGCUACUGCUAGCAUGUCUUAUGCUGCUCGCACACUCACAAUGUUGUGCCAAAAGGGAAGUUAUUUUCAUCUGUGUCUGCUGAAGCAUAGACUGCUAACCCACCGUCAAAACUAAAGCCUGGAAUUGAUCUAUGUUUCUAUAUGUAUGACAGAGAUGAAUCAGUUGAUUUUUUUAGCAACCAUAUGAACCAGUUAGAGAACCUUCUCGUUAUAAUUGUUGUCAAAUCAGUAAGUUUUGCUUUAUAUGAGAAUUCAGUGUCAGUCUCAUGUUGUAGACGUUCAUGACCUUUCUUUUUUCUCUUUGCAGAGUUAUGAUGCUACUACUCACUUUGAGACAAUUGUGACAUGUGUUCUUAACAGUUUUCGCAAAAAUGUUGACAUUUCUUCAGUUUUAUAUAUGCAUGAGUGAAUUUAAUCUUUUCUGUUCAAAUACUUCAUGUUUUCCCUCAGUUUUUUUUGUGCACCAGUUGGAUAGAUGAUAAAUUGGUAAGCUUCUUUCUCUUUCUUUGGGACAUGGGUAUUGAUGUUAGUAUUUUGUAUCAUUAUCUUAACCUUGGUAGACUGAUGGUUAGCAUCAGGCAACUGCAGAGAUUUAUUGAUUUUUAUAGUCCCCUUCUAUAUAAAUCUUAUAUUUGUUCUGUUCGUCAUCAGUGAAAACUUACCUAACUAUUGUUAAUCUGAGUUUGUAUUUUCAUAUGUGUUCACCAAUUCGGCUUCUGGGUGGCAAGAUUAGCUGAUUUAAAGCAUUCUCUUUGGGCAAACAUUAGUCACUGCUAUCCAAAAAUCUGCAGAACGAGCUUGUUGUAUACUUGUUUUAACUCACACAUAAGGGGCAAAUAAGCACGAAUGGAAAAGGAACACAUAAGCUUUCUUUAGUUGUGCUCACUUUACGUUAGUGGACAAAGUUACAUAAGUUUGCCUGUAGCACUACUAAUAUUAGCGAUUAAAUUUAGCUGCUUUUUAGUUCUAUAGGCUGAAAAUGAUACUGAGGUUCUAAGCAUACUAUUUGAGUGGGUUUUCUUCUUGAUGUGCAGCUAAAUUAGUCUUCCAGUUUGUCAACUUAGAUGAUAAGAAUUAUAAAUUCGUGUGUAAUUUUCAUUUGUUGGCGCUGAACACAUAGAUGGGUGUUUGGCGUCCUUUUUUCUUUAUCCAAUUAGACAGUGUUAGUGCUUGUGUAAAGAUACAACUAGAAUUGCUCCGUUCGCUAGAUAAAAUGAUUUUGUAUCCAAAUUUUGUUUACCUCUUUCCGAUUUGUUGCAAUGACUUCGUUAAUUUGUACUCUUUCCGUCUGAAAAAGCUUGUCCCAAGCUUGUUCCUCAAAUGGAUGUAUCUAGCACUAACUUGGUGCUAGAUACAUCCAUUUAAGGGACAAGCUUUUUUGGACAGAGGGAGUACAUGUUGGGUUCUCCUUGGAAAAACCUUUGUAAUUGAUAUUGAAAUGGCAGGAUAAUCAAGCUUCCUUUCUGUACUGGAAGAAGCCAAACAGUGUGUAGUUACACACAUCAAUGGUACCGUCUAUCGGGUUAGGGCGACCAUGAGCGAGGUUGUUCCCUUCUCUGGGAGUAAACCCGAUCCAGUCACCUAAGUUAAUGUCGUCUACGAGCAGGUCAACCCCACCAUCUCUGCCCCCCUUUUCAUGGCGGCUUUGGACGAUAGAUGAAUCGAGAUUGUCCCUUUCGUCCACUCACAUCCUCAGUUAGUAACUUCCCAAUCCUCUCUCUCUCUCUCUCUCUCUGUGUGUGUGUGUGUGUGUGUGUGUGUGUGUAUUGCUUGAUCCAUAUAUCACAAGUGAAUAUCUGGUUCUAGCAUGAACUUUGCAGUAUACAAAAUCUGAACUUGUGAUCAUGUUUCAUGGUCAAGGUUCUGUACUAAACAGAAGGAAAUACUAUGAAGCAUAUAUUUUAAUUUUCAAGCAAAUAGAUCAUAAGCCUGCAAAAAAAAGUUAGAUCACAACUGUUGUGUGCAUGUAAGGUCACACAAAUUUCAGUGUUCUUCGAAGUAAUUCUCUUAGAUCUUUGUGUGGGUUUUCGAUUUUUGCAGAUUUUGUGAUGGAAUUCUCUUAAAUUUUCUCCAUAACUCUGUUGUCGGAACAUGGCUCUUUGGGAAUUAGGCCAUUUACAAUAAAAGGAAAACAGUACCACCAGUGGGAUGUGAUAUAGUGUUGAAGCAAGGCCCAUCUUGCAAUUCAAUACCCAUGCUAUUGUGUUUUUCAUCUUGAAGUUGAAUUUCUUUUUCGACUCUUUACAUAUCAUAGAUGAAAUAUGAAUGACUAAUCUCGAUGCAGAUUAUCACCACAUGACCAUUGCAUCCAUGUAGCGCGCUCACUUUUAUAAAGCACAUCAUUCCUUUCUUUAUAAAGCACACCAUUCCUUUCAUGCUGAUGGGUGAACAAUUAUGCUGCAUCAUUUGUAUGUCUCGAUUUUUGUUUAAUCCAAAGGCCUUUGAUUUUAAUAGAGGUCAUUCUUUUAUAUUAACUGUGUACAGGUGAAAUCCCUUUUGUCAUGACAUAUUUCUCUUAUAUGCAUACAAAUUAUUAUGGGCGAUGAAUCCAGGUGUCGUUUGUCAAGGUGAUAUUGCCUUAUUCAAACAAAAGGUUCAUGAGAAAGGUAGUUAUUGGUGUUUCUGCACUAGAGCAUUCAGAAUGGUAAUGUGACAUUACUUUAGUGACUGACAAUGCCAAAAGGCACUUAAAAUGUAAGGAAAGUUAUCUCAAGAUAAGCACAACACAUAUUUACUAUAAGGAUGCAGAUUUAUUCAA